AACGAACGCUGGCGGCAGGCUUAACACAUGCAAGUCGAGCGCCCCGCAAGGGGAGCGGCAGACGGGUGAGUAACGCGUGGGAAUCUACCCAUCUCUACGGAAUAACGCAUGGAAACGUGUGCUAAUACCGUAUACGUCCUUCGGGAGAAAGAUUUAUCGCCAAAGGAUGGGCCCGCGUCGGAUUAGCUAGUUGGUGGGGUAAUGGCCUACCAAGGCGACGAUCCGUAGCUGGUCUGAGAGGAUGAUCAGCCACACUGGGACUGAGACACGGCCCAGACUCCUACGGGAGGCAGCAGUGGGGAAUAUUGGACAAUGGGGGCAACCCUGAUCCAGCCAUGCCGCGUGAGUGAUGAAGGCCUUAGGGUUGUAAAGCUCUUUCGCCGGUGAAGAUAAUGACGGUAACCGGAGAAGAAGCCCCGGCUAACUUCGUGCCAGCCGCCGCCGUAAUAC
rnacentral:rRNA from 1 species